rnacentral:sRNA from 1 species
ACCAAGCGUGAGCGAUUGUAGCAACAUCCUUUUGCUGGCAAAAGAUAGAGCGGAAAGCGCGUCCGGUC